AGCAGCCGCGGUAAUUCCAGCUCCAAUAGCGUAUAUUAAAGUUGUUGCAGUUAAAAAGCUCGUAGUUGAAUUUCGGGAUCAAUUUAUCGGUCGUGCCUACGGUAUGAACUGGUACAAUUGAUUUCUCCCUUCUGAUGAAGCACGAUGUCAUUAACUUGGUGUCGUGGGGAAUCAGGACUGUUACUUUGAAAAAAUUAGAGUGUUUAAAGCAGGCCUUGGCUUGAAUACAUUAGCAUGGAAUAAUGAAAUAGGACGUUUGAUCCUAUUUCGUUGGUUUCUAGGAUCGACGUAAUGAUUAAUAGGGAUAGUUGGGGGCAUUAGUAUUCAAUUGUCAGAGGUGAAAUUCUUGGAUUUAUUGAAGACUAACUACUGCGAAAGCAUUUGCCAAGGAUGUUUUCAUUAAUCAAGAACGAAAGUUAGGGGAUCGAAGACGAUCAGAUACCGUCGUAG
rnacentral:rRNA from 1 species